GUUAUAAAUUGUUCAACAUAGACUUUGAACACACUUUACCGUGAUGACGUUCAGAUAAAUGUAUCCAGUCUAGAUUUUGUGAGCUGUAGUGAUCAAGCUUACAAUGUACUGAAUAGAAAAGCUGCGUGUGAUUUUGAAGAACCGUCUUCGAGGGAUUUUAACGUAUGUAUUAGAUGUUGCAGAGAUUGGAAAUCGCCAACAG
rnacentral:lncRNA from 1 species